rnacentral:rRNA from 1 species
UACGUAGGGUGCAAGCGUUGUCCGGAAUUAUUGGGCGUAAAGAGCUCGUAGGCGGUCUGUCGCGUCGGCUGUGAAAACCUCGGGCUUAACUCGGGGCUUGCUUUCGAUACGGGCAGACUAGAGGUAUGCAGGGGAGAACGGAAUUCCUGGUGUAGCGGUGAAAUGCGCAGAUAUCAGGAGGAACACCGGUGGCGAAGGCGGUUCUCUGGGCAUGAUCUGACGCUGAGGAGCGAAAGUGUGGGGAGCGAACAGG